rnacentral:rRNA from 1 species
GAUGAACGCUGGCGGCGUGCCUAAUACAUGCAAGUCGAGCGAACAGAUGAGGAGCUUGCUCUUCUGACGUUAGCGGCGGACGGGUGAGUAACACGUGGAUAACCUACCUAUAAGACUGGGAUAACUUCGGGAAACCGUAGCUAAUACCGCAUAAUAUUUUGAAUCGCAUGGUUCAUUCGUGAAAGACGCUUUUGCUGUCACUUCAAGAUGAAUCGGCUCGUCAUUAGUUAGUGGGUAAGGUAACGGCUUACCAAGGGAACGAUGCGUAGCCGACCUGAGAGGGUGACCGGCCACACGGGAACGGGGACACGCUCAAGACUCCUACGGGAGGCAGCAGUAGGGAAUCUUCCGCAAAGGGCGAAAGCCUGACGGAGCAAGGCCGCGUGAGUGAUGAAGGUCUUCGGAUCGUAAAACUCUGUUAUUAGGGAAGAACAAAUGUGUAAGUAACUAUGCACGUCUUGACGGUACCUAAUCAGAAAGCCACGGCUAACUACGUG